AUUGUAUCGAGUAGUGCAUUGUUCGUCGUAUCGCCCGUUCGCGGCGUGUUUGUACUCGCGUGGCGGCCCCGAAAUAACGCCCCGGACGUUCCCCGGCGGGUACAAUAACGACACGUAGAGGGGGUGGGGGGUGGGGGUGGGGCGACGGACGGCUAACAAUAACGACGGGACCCAAUAUCGUAUUCCGGCCGUUUCGAGCCGAUAAUCUGCAUUGAUACCGAAACAACGCUUCAGUUCAGUUCGCGUUGCUACUGUGCGACGCCAUACGCGGUGCCUGUACAAUGUUAUAAUUACUAUUAUCAUUGCUGUCGGUAUAUCGGACGUGAAAAUGUGUACGGUUAUCCGUUUUGGCCGAUAAGCCGGCGCGUCGCGUUUU